AACGAACGCUGGCGGCAUGCCUAACACAUGCAAGUCGAACGGGAUCCUAGCUUGCUAGGUGAGAGUGGCGGACGGGUGAGUAACACGUGGGAAUCUGCCUUUUGGUUCGGGAUAACCGCGGGAAACUGCGGCUAAUACCGAAUGCCCUCGAGAGAGGAAAGACUUUAUCGCCAGAAGAGGAGCCCGCGUCCGAUUAGGUAGUUGGUGGGGUAAAAGGCUACCAAGCCGACGAUCGGUAGCUGGUCUGAGAGGAUGAUCAGCCACACUGGGACUGAGAUACGGCCCAGACUCCUACGGGAGGCAGCAGUGGGAAUAUUGGACAAUGGGGGCAACCCUGAUCCAGCAAUGCCGACGUGAGUGAUG
rnacentral:rRNA from 1 species